UUGUUCCCAUGCAGCUGGAAAGUGGUCACCAUGGAGUCCGAUAUUUGUUACCUAUCAAAUUGAAUUGAUCUAACAGAAUAUUCUCUAGAUAGUAUCUAGUGCGGUUGACUAAGAGUUUAAAGGCUGGUAUUUGAGAUUCUAAAAUUGAAGCUUCGUUGUUUUAUAUUUUUAAUCGAGUUUAUUUCUAAAACAUAAAUAAAACAGAUAGAUAGCAUGUCAUCUUCUUUUUUUUUCCUCUUUUCCUCUCUCAAAAAAGAGAGUUUAUUUCUGAAAAAUGAAUGAAGUAGAUUGCAUGGCAUCUUUCUUUCUAUCUCUCUCUCUCUCUCCCUCUUUCUAAA
rnacentral:lncRNA from 1 species